rnacentral:rRNA from 1 species
GACAGAGGGUGCAAACGUUGCUCGGAAUUACUGGGCGUAAAGCGCGUGUAGGCGGGCCCCCAAUUCGGACGUGAAAGCCCUGAGCUCAACUCAGGAACUGCAUCCGAAACUGAGGGCCUGGAGUAGUGGAGAGGGAAGCAGAAUUCCUGGUGUAGAGGUGAAAUUCGUAGAUAUCAAGCAGAACACCUGCGGCGAAGGCGGCCUUCUGGACGAUGACUGACGCUGAGACGCGAAAGCGUGGGGAGCAAACAGG